CAGCAGCCGCGGUAAUACGAAGGGGGCUAGCGUUGUUCGGAUUUACUGGGCGUAAAGCGCACGUAGGCGGAUCGAUCAGUCAGGGGUGAAAUCCCAGAGCUCAACUCUGGAACUGCCUUUGAUACUGUCGAUCUGGAGUAUGGAAGAGGUGAGUGGAAUUCCGAGUGUAGAGGUGAAGUUCGUAGAUAUUCGGAGGAACACCAGUGGCGAAGGCGGCUCACUGGUCCAUUACUGACGCUGAGGUGCGAAAGCGUGGGGAGCAAACAGGAUUAGAUACCCGAGUAGUCCCUGUCUCUUAUAA
rnacentral:rRNA from 1 species